UGGGGAAUAUUGCGCAAUGGGGGAAACCCUGACGCAGCGACGCCGCGUGUGGGAUGAAGGUCUUCGGAUUGUAAACCACUGUCGCGAGGGACGAAGCUCUGACGGUACCUCGAAAGGAAGCACCGGCUAACUCUGUGCCAGCAGCCGCGGUAAUACAGAGGGUGCGAGCGUUGUUCGGAAUUACUGGGCGUAAAGCGCGGGCAGGCGGUCUGUUAAGUCGUUUGUGAAAAUCCGGGGCUCAACCCCGGAAAUGCAUACGAUACUGGCAGGCUGGAGACUGGUAGAGGCUAGCGGAAUUCCUGGUGUAGCGGUGGAAUGCGUAGAUAUCAGGAAGAACACCUGUGGCGAAGGCGGCUAGCUGGGCCAGUUCUGACGCUCAUCCGCGAAAGCGUGGGGAGCAAACAGGAUUAGAUACCCCCGUAGUCCCUGAGCGGGCUGGCAAGGCGCAU
rnacentral:rRNA from 1 species